rnacentral:misc_RNA from 1 species
UCACAUUCUCCCUUUGCAAUCUCCUUGCUAGUAGUCUGAUACCAUGUUGAGGGGCUAGUAGCAUCUUAUAGACGGGGGAAUGGCGAUACUCUGGAGAAAGAGAGAAAGAAAAGUUUGAUAGAAUUGAACGGAGAAGUAUUUUCAGUUCCAGCAUGGCAAAGGUCUGGCCAACACAUAGUCGACUUCCGAAACCAAAUGGAAUGUAAGAUUGUGGAUACUUGCAGGCUUCAGCUACACCUCCUGCAAACCUCUCAGGCUUGAAUUCAUCAGCAUCAGGACCCCAGUUUUCAGGAUCACGAUGCAAUGCCAUAACUGAUAUCCAAAUGAUGGUGCCUUUUGGCACAGCACAGUUAAAUCUCCCACCCUUAAAUCAGCAAAAGCUUCUCUUGAUGUGAUAACAGCUGGACCAUAGAGUCUCAGAGUUUCUUGGAUCACCAUAGUCAGCGAUUUU